AUCUAGCCAUAUCACCAUUUCUUGACUACAACUGAAAUUUCUUCCCACUAUCAUUCUUUUCUAGUAUAAAGUUGGCAUGUACUUAAAUUUUUCAAUUAAUUUCAAUUAAAUAAAAUUUCAGUUACAGUUAGAGAAUACAUACUGACUGUGCACGAAACUGGCACAAAGGAAGGAGUAAUCAAUUCUGCUAUUUAGAGAAUGGCAUCAAGGAAUAACAAUAACUAACAGUUUUUGAGCACCUACUAUGUGACAGGAACUUACUACUUUCUAACUUAAUUAACACAAACUUCCCCACACUGGAAUUUUUGAAGUUCACAGCAAUGAUCAUAACUUAAUUUUCAUUUGUUGUUGCUCCUGUGAGUAGUUCUAGAUGUUUCUAGGUGUGUCUUGAAUAUUGCCCAAUAAGCCUAUUUAUCCUGGGUACUACUAGGGACCCACUGAGCAUGAGGAUCUCCAACGGGUUCUGUCCCAUGGCAGGUGCAAUUUGCUAAUAUACUGAAGUCCCCUACUGGGUGCUGCCACAGCUCCAGCAGGCCCUGACACCACCAUGGAGGACCUUUAAAGUGCCAGAGCAGGGUGUCAAUCUUUGACCAAGUAGGGAACAACAUCCCUCACCUUUCUGUGAUGGACCCUGUUAGAGGCCCCCUACGCAAUGAUGUCCAUGACGUAACAUCCUACUGAGUGCUUUAUCAGGUUGUUCUUCCAGUAGUUCAUUCCAGGUCUUUUUCUCCCUUGAACUAAGACAUGAGUGUAUGGGCCAGAGUGGAGACAUUUGAUUAAUAUGGCAAUGAAGCUUUACAGUUCAAUACUCGGCUGUUUCCCUGGGAACAAAUACCUUCAAUGUGGCUCUUCAACCCCAGGGUGCAUCGAUAAACAACACUGACCAUGACUCUGAGGAGUUUACACUGCAGGGAGCUGAUCACUGUCUUCUUUCCUUUCUUCCCAAGCCAUCAUUUUAAUUUAUAUACCUAUGGGGAAGUCAUCUUUCAGCCUCUCCAAGGGGGAAAAAAAAACAAACAAGAG
rnacentral:lncRNA from 1 species